rnacentral:misc_RNA from 1 species
AAGACUAUAGACCUGCGGAGUACCUGCGGAAGGAUCAUUAACGUAUCUAUGAUGGGGUGCGGAGCGCCCUGCUCCGGUCGAACGGCCGUGCAGCGGGUGCGCCGCCCCCGUCCCACCUCACAAACCCACUGUGAACAUUCACCGGUGGAGGGGGCUCGGUCUGCGCCGUGUCCCCGAUGCCGAAUACCCAUACUCCAGUUGCAAAGAACGUCGUGCGGACUCGGUGCCGCCUAAAACAUG